rnacentral:rRNA from 1 species
GAUGAACGCUGGCGGCGUGCCUAAUACAUGCAAGUCGAGCGGACAGACGAGGAUUUUGCCUCUCUUCCGUUACCGGCGGACGGGUGAUUAAUACGUGGCUACCCUACCUAUAAGGCUGAGGUAACUUCGGGAGACCUGAUCUCACAUCGGACAUUAUAUUGAACGUCAUGGAUCUAUAGUGAAAGAGGUAUUUGCUGUGCCUUAUAGAUGGAUCCGCGUCGCAUUAGCUAGUUGGUAAGGUAAAGGCUUACCAAGGCGACGAUGCGUAGCCGAUCUGAGAGGAUGAUCAGCCACACUGGAACUGAGACACGGUCCAGACUCCUACGGGAGGCAGCAGUAGGGAAUCUUGCGCAAUGGGCGAAAGCCUGACCGAGCAACGCCGCGUGAGUGAUGAAGGUCCUCGGAUCGUAAAACUCUGUUAUUAGGGAAGAACGAAAGUGUAUGUAACUAUGCCCGUCUUGACGUUACCUAAACAGAAAGCCACGGCUAACUACGUG